rnacentral:rRNA from 1 species
CCUACGGGGGGCUGCAGUGGGGAAUAUUGGACAAUGGGCGAAAGCCUGAUCCAGCCAUGCCGCGUGAGUGAUGAAGGCCUUAGGGUUGUAAAGCUCUUUUACCUGGGAAGAUAAUGACGGUACCCGGAGAAUAAGCCCCGGCUAACUUCGUGCCAGCAGCCGCGGUAAUACGAAGGGGGCUAGCGUUGCUCGGAAUCACUGGGCGUAAAGGGCGCGUAGGCGGCCAUUCAAGUCAGAGGUGAAAGCCCAAGGCUCAACCUUGGAAUUGCCUUUGAUACUGUUUGGCUUGAGACCGGAAGAGGUUAGUGGAACUGCGAGUGUAGAGGUGAAAUUCGUAGAUAUUCGCAAGAACACCAGUGGCGAAGGCGGCUAACUGGUCCGGUACUGACGCUGAGGCGCGAAAGCGUGGGGAGCAAACAGGAUUAGAUACCCUUGUAGUC